rnacentral:rRNA from 1 species
AGGAUGAACGCUAGCGGCAGGCCUAACACAUGCAAGUCGAGGGGUAGUUACUUUCGGGUAAUGAGACCGGCGCACGGGUGCGUAACGCGUAUGCAAUCUACCUUUUACAGGGGAAUAGCCCAGAGAAAUUUGGAUUAAUGCCCCAUAGUAUGUAUGAAUCGCAUGGUUUGUAUAUUAAAGUUCCAACGGUAAAAGAUGGGCAUGCGUCCUAUUAGCUAGAUGGUAAGGUAACGGCUUACCAUGGCAACGAUAGGUAGGGGUCCUGAGAGGGAGAUCCCCCACACUGGUACUGAGACACGGACCAGACUCCUACGGGAGGCAGCAGUGAGGAAUAUUGGACAAUGGGCGCAAGCCUGAUCCAGCCAUGCCGCGUGCAGGAAGAAGCAUCUAUGGUGUGUAAACUGCUUUUGUACGGGAAGAAACACUCCUUCGUGAAGGAGCUUGACGGUACCGUAAGAAUAAGGAUCGGCUAACUCCGUG